AUGAACAUGGACAAACUGAGGGUUGCCCGCGCUAACGGCAAGCGCGCGUUCACCAGGAUCAACAGGAAUCUUCUGAAGCAGAUCGCUGAUGAAGCGGAACCUGGUCUGGUUCAGGAUUGCUGGAAGGAGCUGCAGGAAGCAUGGUCAGACGUUGAGUCCAAGCACAACGAGUAUGUAUCGCUUCUGACCUCAGAAGAAGAGAUGGAUGGUGAAGAGCCGUGGAUAUCAGAGGUGUACGACAGUUUCUCCAACUCCAAGAAGACGUUCUUCAACUUCAUGAAGAACUGCUCCAAGGCUGUGAAGGAAGAACAAACUUCAGUCGACACAGCAAGCAUCAAGCGACCAGACAUCCAAAAACUGAAGAUGCCUCUGUUCUCGGGGUCACAGGAUAACGUCAUCUCCUUCAACGACUUCUUGAACAUGUUCGACGACCUCAUCGGAAACAACAGCGCCUACAGCAACACGGCGAAACUGAUGUAUCUGAAGAGUUACUUAAGAGGAAAUGCCUUGGACACAAUCAAGCACCUGUCGAACGACGAGAAGAGCUACGAGCUGGCCAGAGUGUUCCUCAAGGAAGAGUACUUGGACAAUGAUAUCGUGGUUGAAGAGCACAUCAGGAGGCUGCACGAACUCACUUCACCGCCAGCAAAGGACUUUACCGCUCUACGGUCGUUCUUCAACACAGCACGUACCUCAGUGUAUGAAUUGAAGGCAUUUGGCUUCGAUGCUCUUCAGGACGACACUCUCGGCAGCAAGAUCGUCAGCUACAUGAUCUGUCAGAAACUCCCGACGAACUUCAAGUCGAAGCUGAGCACCACCCUGCAGACGGACUUCCCCUCAACGAGAGAGUUGCUGGAGAACUACAACACGAUCAUCAAGUCACUGAUGAAGACAUCAACACCAGCGAGACAGCUGGUUGACAUCAUGGCAUCUGAAGACACCAUCCAUCAGCAUGACGCUCCCGUCGAGAAGGUACUGGGAUACUUCUACGACUCCAAGCAAGAUGUAGUAUCACUGGCCGACUUCAGCUUCGAAGAGCGACCUCAGGGAAUCACGAAGAGGCAGCUGCUGAGUAAUAUCAGCAAGGUCUUCGAUCCUCUAUCUCUGGCCCUACCUGUGACCAUCCGAGGACGGCUUCUCAUGAAGCAGGUCUGGAAGGACGGCACGGCGUGGGACGAAGAAGUAACGCCGGAGGUAUACAGAGACUGGAAGCUGCUGAAGAAUGAUCUCAACUCUCUGCGUGAAAAAAAGUUUCCCAGGAAGACUGGUGACACGGAGAUCGGACAGCCGACCGAGCUUCACCUCUUCUGCGACGGAAGCAAGGCGUGCUACGGGUUCGCCUGUUACGUGAAGCAGGAGAACUCCGAACCACAGCUAGUCUUCGCGAAAAGCAAACUCGCACCCGACGACAAGAGCAUCCCGCAGCUGGAACUGCUUGCAGUUUUCCUUGCACUGAAGUGUCUUCCGCUCAUACUCGACUCAAUCAAGAUGACUGUCGAUCACUUGCGACUCUGGAGUGACGCCCAGGUUGUCCUCGAGUGGUUGAUGUCAGGCUGCAAGUCCAAGAGCAGGUUCACCUCCAAUCGCCUGGAAGACAUAACAUCGAUGAAGCUGAAGCUGCAAGAACAAUACAACUGUGACAUCUCGCAUCACUACGUGGCUACAACCUCCAACGUGGCUGACAUGCUGACACGGGGAUUGACAGCGAAAGAGUUUGUCAAGAACAACAACGACUUCAAGACCAGUACAAGAAGAUGUGGUACAGCGAGUACCUGCUGGGACUCCGUGAAACCACCCGUGACAUCUUCCAAACUGACUGGAAAGACAAGAUCUCGGUCGGUGACAUCGUCCUCAUUAGCACAAAGAACAGACCAAGGAUGUUCUGGCUCAUGGGCAGAGUUCUGCAACUACUCCAUGGAGAUGACGGAAGGGUUCGUCAGGUUCUCCUGAAGACCAGCGCAGGGCGAACAGAGAGGUACUCAGUAGCUCACCUCUACCCACUAGAGAUCCAGAGCACACACACAGGUCGAGACGUCACUGAGGAUAACUCCCGACAGGAUGCUGAACCAGCCCGUGAGGAUAAAGGCGCAGCAGCACAGCAAGAGCAAGCUCCAAGACGCCCAACGCGGCAGGCAGCAAUCCGGCAAGCUGAUCUCGUCAAGUCUCUGGUACGAGACGGAAGAAUAUAGCCGACAUGUUUCACCAACAUACCUGAUGCUAAACUCUGUUUAGCAUCUGUCAGCGGGAGGGUGUGCAAAUUCAUCAGAAUAUCGUCAUAAACAAUUAUACAUGCACAUUGCACAGGCAGCUUGCACUCAUUCCUAAGCAUUAUCCUCAUUCCUCAUACUACAAACAUAACCGGCUUGACCUCGCCCCUCCCCCUCCCCUGUUGAGCGUUCGGGCCGGGCCGGGCUGGGCGGGGCAGCGGUGAACCGCCGAGCUGGCAGGCUGCCAAUGCCUCGGGGGCUUGACCGGCCGAGGUCGCCACGGACGGGCGGACGGGGCGGGCGGCCCAGUCGUCUGCCGGAGUGAGUGCUGCCGUGAGCUGCCGUGUGCGCGCCAGUCGCAAGUAUCUACCACGGACGUUCUACAUACACCGUGUGGAGAACUACCUAAGACGAUCUACAAUUAUCUACUUCGACCGACACAGCCAAACAGACGUUUUGUCGGCAGUGAAGGACAUAUUCACAGAGGCCAACUUUCAAGGGCAUCAAUUUCUACACCCAGCUGAAGACGGUGACGCAGCUCUGGCGUGCCGAUGACGUCACGCACUCCAAGGCCGCCACCACGAUGCCAGUGAUGCGCUAAGCAGCUCCGCUGGCACCGCAGGGCUCGCGCGACACGGCUGGCAACGGGCGCGGCAAAACAACCGGUCGGUAGCCGCGCGCCGCCAGCUGCACAGCAUUGACGCCCGUACAGCUCCAGUGAUUGGAUUUGGACAGUGGACUGGGACUCCAGUUCGUCAUGGCUUUGUUGUGGCGGCGUUUGUCAGUCAGCGGUUAGCGGAGCGGCGUACCGUCGGGGCGGGUGAUGGUCGAUCCGCUCCAGAGCAGGCCGGCGCCGCGCCGUUAUUGAAAUUCAGCACGAAAAAAAGCAUGGUCCUAAAAGAGCAUGACCCAACCUGACCUAACUUAACCAAACCUAGUGAAGCCAUGUGGCCCCGUACCCAUGCUCCUUUCGUGUUUUAUUUCAAUAUACGGCCGGCGCGGCUGUCGUAUAAAGCUCCAUCUGACGGUCCAUGUGCAAUAUGUAUGUACGUAAACUGAUACAAUACACCCGGGGCGAGCAUUGAUA
rnacentral:misc_RNA from 1 species